UAGUACAUCAAGUUAAACUAAAUGAGAAUUAAAUGAAAACUCUUGCGUUGUCNCUGUAAUAACCUUACCUGACCCUCACCUGUCUGUCACGCAUCAGGUGUCUGUUCUUCUGCUCUGGGAUUGGAGGAUGGGCGUAUCCAUUAUGGUCAGCUGACCUCGUCCUCAUACAGAGAGAAUAAUCCUGCAGACGCAGGCCGGCUCAACGUCGUACCCAAUGUGUGAGCAUUUUAUGAUGAAUUAAGGUCAUAAACAUUUAUGAAUGCACAGAUGAAGAAAAUAUGACCAUCAUCUCAUCUUGCAAAUAGAAUAAACAAGAUCAACUCCAACCUGUAACAUGAUGCCUUUGAUGACACUUCUUUGUUUCGGUGCUUCUCAGGAUGGUGAUGGAGCCAGGAUGGAGUCCGUUACCUGGAGACCCUCAUCCGUAUUUCCAGGUGGAUUUCCUGGAGCCCACCUGGAUUUCGGGUGUGGUGACGCAGGGCAGUGAACGCAUGUGGGGAUACCUGAGCAAAUACAGACUGGCCUUCGCUUUGGUGGAGAACCACUUCAUCAACUUCACUGAGACUGGAGACAGAGGCUCUCCUCCGAAGAUAUUUGAGGUGAGGAUGGUCAGCCGGACGCCCGUCACACGCUGGUUGGACAGACUGGUCCGAGCUCGGUUUCUCCGGAUCAUUCCUGUAGAGUUUCGCCACACUUUCUAUCUCCGUGUGGAGGUGCUGGGCUGUAGAGGAGGUACAGCUGCUGCCUGCUGCUGUUUCUUUUUUAGUUUUCAUUGCUUCUCAGAGGCCUGAGUGAAUCAAGUGACCAGGUCAUAAUUCAUGACACAUAAAAAAAAAAAAAAAAUUUAUUUGACAUAAAAACAUUAUGUAUCAUAUUUUAAUGACAAUUACUUUUUUUUUUUUUUACAUUGUUACAUUGACAUUAUCAUGACAAUUAAACACAUUAAAAUUCCAAACAUUUCCAUAAUGCAAUGUUAUUUUAGUAUUACUGGUAUACUUUUAUAGGUUUUAUGAUUUUUUUUAUUUUAUUUUAAUUUUAAUAUUAGUUAUAAUUUUAGUUAUUUUGUUAUGUUUUUGUCGUUUUUACUAUUUUUUAAAUAUCCAUACCUCGCUCUCUUUCUCACACUCACUCUCUCUCUCAAUUAUAAUUUUUUGCUCCAAUUUUAAUUUGAUUUAUUUUGGUACUUCAAGUUAAACUAAAUGAAAAUGAGAAAUGUUGCCAUGGCAACUAGAUGAAAAUAAAAUAGUUUU
rnacentral:lncRNA from 12 species